AUUGAACGCUGGCGGCAUGCCUUACACAUGCAAGUCGAACGGUAACAGGUCUUCGGAUGCUGACGAGUGGCGAACGGGUGAGUAAUACAUCGGAACGUGCCUAGUAGUGGGGGAUAACUACUCGAAAGAGUGGCUAAUACCGCAUGAGAUCUACGGAUGAAAGCAGGGGAUCGCAAGACCUUGUGCUACUAGAGCGGCCGAUGGCGGAUUAGGUAGUUGGUGGGAUAAAAGCUUACCAAGCCGACGAUCUGUAGCUGGUCUGAGAGGACGAUCAGCCACACUGGGGCUGAGAAACGGCCCAGACUCCUACGGGAGGCAGCAGUGGGGAAUUUUGGACAAUGGGCGCAAGCCUGAUCCAGCAAUGCCGCGUGCAGGAUGAAGGCCUUCGGGUUGUAAACUGCUUUUGUACGGAACGAAAAGCCCCGGGUUAAUACCCUGGGGUCAUGACGGUACCGUAAGAAUAAGCACCGGCUAACUACGUGCCAGCCGCCGCGGUAA
rnacentral:rRNA from 1 species